CGGGGGAGGCCGGAUCCUGGGCUGUGUCCCGGCGCCCUGUGCUCCGGGGCCUGCGCUGUUUCAUUAGCGCUCCUGGGGCUGCGCAGCCCCCU
rfam:Canis lupus familiaris chromosome 13, whole genome shotgun sequence.